ensembl:lncRNA
AUUUUGAUUGGUGAACAUCUUUUGCACACUGAGGGGGAGGUGGUGGAGUGGGGGUGGUUGGAAUAGAAUCGGCGCUUUCCACGGUUUAGAAAUUGCACGUGUUCACAUCGGGAUUUUAUUGCGAUGUGGGUUAAUCGCACAGCCCUAGUAUAGAGGCUACACAUUUUUCACUAAGACUUACAGGUAUAGAGGCCACGCCUCCUUCCCUUACCGCUUAGACUGACGGGGAUAGAGGCCACACCCCUUUCACUUAGACUGACAGGUAUAGAGGCCACACCCCUUUCACUUAGACUGACAGGUAUAGAGGCCACGCCUCCUUCCCUUACCACUUAGACCGACGGGUAUAGAGGCCACACCUCCUUCACUUAGACUGACAGGUAUACAGACCACACCUCCUUCACUUAGACUGACAGGUAUACAGACCACACCUCCUUCACUUAGACUGACAGGUAUAGAGGCCACUCCUCCUUCACUUAGACUGACAGGUAUAGAGACCACUCCUCCUUCACUUAGACUGACAGGUAUAGAGGCCACUCCUCCUUCACUUAGACUGACAGGUAUAGAGGCCACUCCUCCUUCACUUAGACUGACAGGUAUAGAGGCCACUCCUCCUUCACUCAUAUUGACAUGACUGAGACACAU